CGUGUAGGCGGUUCGUUAAGUCGGGUGUGAAAGCCCGGGGCUCAGCUCCGGAAGUGCGUCCGAAACUGGCGAGCUGGAGCGCGGUAGAGGAGGGUGGAAUUCCUGGUGUAGCGGUGAAAUGCGUAGAUAUCAGGAGGAACACCGGCGGCGAAGGCGGCCCUCUGGACCGUUGCUGACGCUGAGACGCGAAAACGUGGGGAGCAAACAGGAUUAGAUACCCUGGUAGUCCACGCUGUAAACUAUGGGUACUAGGUGUUCGGGGUGUUGACCCCCUGAGUGCCGACGCUAACGCAUUAAGUACCCCGCCUGGGGACUACGGCCGCAAGGUUAAA
rnacentral:rRNA from 1 species